rnacentral:rRNA from 1 species
AUACGUAGGGGACAAGCGUUAAUCGGAAUCACUGGGGCGUAAAGCGCUCGUAGGUGGCUUUGUAAGUCAGGUGUGAAAGCCCACGGCUCAACCGUGGAAUUGCACUUGAUACUGCAUUGCUUGAGUUCGGGAGAGGGUAGUGGAAUUCCAGGUGUAGGAGUGAAAUCCGUAGAUAUCUGGAGGAACAUCAGUGGCGAAGGCGGCCACCUGGACCGAUACUGACGCUGAGGUGCGAAAGCGU